UGCAGUCGAGCGCUACCUUCGGGUGGAGCGGCGGACGGGUUAGUAACGCGUGGGAACGUACCCAGAUCUAAGGAAUAGCCACUGGAAACGGUGAGUAAUACCUUAUACGCCCUUCGGGGGAAAGAUUUAUCGGAUUUGGAUCGGCCCGCGUUAGAUUAGAUAGUUGGUGGGGUAAUGGCCUACCAAGUCUACGAUCUAUAGCUGGUUUUAGAGGAUGAUCAGCAACACUGGGACUGAGACACGGCCCAGACUCCUACGGGAGGCAGCAGUGGGGAAUCUUGGACAAUGGGCGCAAGCCUGAUCCAGCCAUGCCGCGUGAGUGAUGAAGGCCUUAGGGUCGUAAAGCUCUUUCGCCAGAGAUGAUAAUGACAGUAUCUGGUAAAGAAACCCCGGCUAACUCCGUGCCAGCAGCCGCGGUAAUACGGAGGGGGUUAGCGUUGUUCGGAAUUACUGGGCGUAAAGCGUACGUAGGCGGAUUAGUCAGUCAGAGGUGAAAUCCCAGGGCUCAACCCUGGAACUGCCUUUGAUACUGCUAGUCUUGAGUUCGAGAGA
rnacentral:rRNA from 1 species